ensembl:lncRNA
CAGAAGAAAACAUCAAAUGUUUUAUAAUCUUGGGGUAGAGAAGGUAUUUCUGAGCACAACACGAUCCAGAAGUCAUAAAUGAGAAAAGUAAUCAUGAUGAAUGGCGAUUUUAAACACCUGGCAAAAAUAAAUACAAACAAACAAAAAAGCACCAUGCAAGUCAAAGACAAAGGACAGAUUGGAAAAAAAACACUUUUAAGAGACAAUGGGCUAGUUUCCUUAAUAUAUAAAGUGCUCCAGGAAAACAAUAACACGGAUGACUCUAUUGGGCAAAGAAAAUGAAACACAACUGGCUUCAUGUUUACAAUAAAUAUUUUUUCCGGUUUCAAAAUGAUUAUCUUAGUGGUAGAAAUGAUCAACAUAAAAAUAAGUCUGACAAAAGCACUGAAAUGUUCAAUUAUACUUCUAGGAAACACAAAUAAAGCUACAGGGAGUGGCUAGCCCCAUGGCGUAGUGGUUAAGUUCAUGUGCUCCACUUCAGCAGCCUGAGUUCGAGGGUUCAGAUCCCGGGCGUGGACCUAUGCACUGCUUGUCAAGCCAUGCUGUGGCAGUGUCCCACAUGUAAAGUAGAAGAUGAGUACAGAUGUUAGCUCAGGGCCAAUCUUCCUCAGGAAAAAAAAAAAAAGCUACAAUGAAAUACGAUUUUACGCCUACCAGAUCUGCAAGAUCAAGCAUUGAUGGGCAAUGGGGGACACCCCUCCUUUGCAGGGAAGGGGCAUCGUGGCAGGACCUGUUUAGAGAUCAUUUAUCCAUUCAGAGAUCUAUGGAAAGUCCUCUGACCCAGCACCUCUGCACUAAGGAAUUCAGCCUGCAGAAAUAUUCGUGCUUGGGGACAAAGGCAUUCGUACAAGGACAGUCAAUCCAGCACUGCUUGUUACAAAAUACUGGAAAGAACCUAAAUUCCUACCAACGGGAAACCUGAUAAGUAAAUUAAAGCAUCGAUAAAAUACGGUGCAGCCAUUCAAACGAAUGAGUCCCAUCUGUAUUUGGGAACGCGGAGAACACUGUCCGAGCUAAAAAUCAGGAUCGGGUAGAAACACACUCGAUGCACACGCACGGACUUUCUCUGUCGACACAUGAGAAACUGGUUUCUCUCUGCCCCCGGGGGAGCGGAACCAGGCCCUGCAGCUCAGGGGUGGGCAGGACACUGAGCUUGCGCCCAACACCCUUCACACUCUGGAUUUCUUGCUCGGGGUAUCUGAAGACAUUUUUGUCCACUUGUAAGCAGUUGCUUUGAACUCGAUGCACUGCGGACGCCCGGCUCUCAGGGAACUUACAUUCUGAUGGGGUGAAAAGGGCAACAUGCGCUGUGACAAGCGCAGGGCCAGGGGUCCGUGGGGGCAGGACACGGUCGGGGUGGAGGGGAGCCACGACUUCAGGGCAGAAACACCGCAGCAAGAGACUGAGAGGAAUUCAGUCGUGUUAAGGAAUGUUACCCAUGCUGGGGGCAUCGUCCCAAGACCAGGAUGUAAAGAGAGCCCCUCGGUCACAAAGACCAGCCUGUGCAAAGGCCCGGUGGUGGGAAGGGCAGACGAGAGAUAGGACCUCAGACGUUCUCUGCUUCAGGGAGGACACACUCACGUUCAGUUCUGCUUCUAAACGUCCUGUAUUUUCAAAAAUGUCCCUAGACCCCCAGCAAGAGGGGUCGGUGGGCCUCGGGAGGGACAAAGGCACCGGCAGCUUGAGCGCCCACACCCAGGCCAGGGCACCUCCCCGUGUUAGACAAGGGUGGGCCGCGACUCCACGGGCCCAAGGGCUGGGUCAGCCCAGAGGCCGGCCCGGGACGGCGGCGGGAGGGGCCGGCAGGAGGGCCCCGGGGGUCGCCUCCCCUCCUGCGUGACAGCGUCAGCACAGCCAUGCGGCCCGCCCUUUCUGUGCCCGGCGGGCCACCCUCAGCUCUGGGAGCACCCGGGUCCCGAUCCCGAAUGGCGAACAGGAAGUUCAGAGCACAGCACGCGGCGUGGACGGCCGCGGACCGGCGCGAACCCCGAGACCGAGCCCGCGGCGGGCGGGGAAGUGCGUGCGCCCCGCCCGGGCGGCCCGUUCUGCACCGGGGAGGCCGCGGCGCGCGAAGGCGGGGCCCGGCGGGAGCGGCGCGGAGAGCAGGGGCCCGGCCGAGCAGCCACUUACCGCCGAGCCGCGGCCUCCUCCGCGCUCCGCCGCC